rnacentral:tRNA from 1 species
GCUUAGAUAGCUUAUAAAAAGCAUAACAUUGAAGCUGUUAAGAAGACUCCAAGUCUCAAAGCA